UACGUAGGGCGCAAGCGUUGUCCGGAUUUAUUGGGCGUAAAGAGCUCGUAGGCGGUCUGUCGCGUCGGAUGUGAAAACCCGGAGCUCAACUCCGGGCCUGCAUUCGAUACGGGCAGACUUGAGUACUGCAGGGGAGACUGGAAUUCCUGGUGUAGCGGUGGAAUGCGCAGAUAUCAGGAGGAACACCGGUGGCGAAGGCGGGUCUCUGGGCAGAAACUGACGCUGAGGAGCGAAAGCGUGGGGAGCGAACAGG
rnacentral:rRNA from 1 species